AGAUCAUUAUAAAUUAAGAACUGGACCAAUAAUUUUCUCCUUUACAAGUCUUGUUAUAUAUUCUAUAUAUUCUAUAUCUAUAACGACAUAAGAUCAUUCUUUUUCUCUUUGAGCUCUUUCACUAGUCCCCUUAAGUAACAAAAUAGCUUCUAUAAUUGUUUGUUCUACAAACCAUAUGCAGGGCCUGGCCUGAGGGUAUCUAAGCAGUGCCACUGCACAGGCCCUGGUCUUGGACAGCCCAUGAUUUUAUUUUUCUCAUAUACUUGUAUAAUAUUUAUCAUAGCUUACAGUAGAAUAACAAAUUAUGGACAAAGCACCGGCGUUUAGAGAUUUUCUUGUUUUCCUGUGGGGAGUAGGUUCAAGCCUUCACCCUAGCACUUUUACUUUCUGCAUGUUUUCUUAAAUAAGACUUCAAUAGCAAAAGAAUCCAAAACUACAAAUUGAACCUAAGAUCACUUAGGCAAGAGUACAAACCCUAGCUGCUGUUUAUAAGAAAUGAAGACUGUUUAAAAUAAAGUCAGUAAGGCACCGCUACAGUCUUAUAAGAAAAUCAGGCUGUACUCAUAUUGUCGAAGAAUUUGAAACCUUCAGUAGGGCUUCCAUUGAGUUCAGUUUGUUUCUCUUACAUUCAUGUUCUUCAUUUCCAAUUUGACCUAGCUACCCUGAGUCUCCGUUUGGUGUAGCUCUUCAGACCACUAAACCACACUUUUGCACUAUAGAAGUGCAUUAUCUGCUAAUCUGUUUUCCUUCUGUUGAAUUUUAGUUGAAAUUUAAAAGAGUUUCUGGUGAAGCUAAAGUUCAAGCUUCGCCCAAAAGAUGCAAAACAAAGAAAUCUUUAUGUAGGAAAAUUUUGCCUUAUGAUUUUGAUUAAAGUGCACUCAGGCUCUUUGAAUUAUUCAAACAGCAAGUAAAUUCCUGGUAUAGCACCUUCUGAAGCCUCUGUGAACAUUAAUGUCUUAAUUUUACAUAUACAAUUGGUGAUAGACGUAGUAAGAUAGUUCACCUUUAUGAAUGGAUAAUGCUACUGUGCACUUUAAACCUCAAAAUGGACAUUUGUAAAUUUUUGUGUUUCCUGUACACACAAAGUUGGAGUGCACGAGUGCCAAUUGUGCUGCCUUUAAAAGUAUCAAAUUCUCUUUUUAUACAACUUUAGUAAAAUGUAUUUUUUUGGUGAAAAUGGUGUUUAGACACUUCGCGUUAACUUCUCGUGUGUAAGGGGCAAGGCCUUGUAGUCUAGUCUAAAUGACACGAAAUACCCAAAUUGUAUUGUGAAAUUAUAAUUUUUUAUUUCUUAUCGUCUUUUGCUAAUGAUAGUGUUUCUUGGUUAUGAUAUUCUACAAAGUAUUCAUGAUAGAAAGGAGAAUCAUUAUACCUAUGGUUUUCUUGCAAGUUUUGAAGUUGUUGCCUCAACAUUGCUGCUUCCCUUUGCCAUAACUAGGAAGUAAAAAUGUACCAUCUUUAGACAUAACUAUAGAAUGAACAAAUUUAAAGUCGAAACUGGAAAUUUCAAUACAAUUAAAGCACUAUAUGUGAGAGCAAUACUCUCAUUUGUAUAACAUUUAAACGUGCAAGGAAAAGUAUGAAGCUUAUAUUAACCUAUGAUAAUCUCCUUACUCAUAACAUCUUUUGAAUGCAACAAAUAGCUAAAGCUACUUAAAAUGUAACUCCUAUAUGGACCUUAAAUUGUGCAGUUAGGUGAAGUAACCAUUUCAGAUUUGCACUAUCAUUUUUCUUGUUCGAGACUAUUGGAUGGAUAAUUGUGUCCAGCCAUUGACUCAUAACAUUUUUCUUUUAUUUUCUUUUCUAAGUCAGUUAUAUCUUCUUUUUCCCCCUUCUCUUUUCACUCUUUGCAUGAAAUAGAGAUAAAUACCCAUUGUAAUGUUUACAUGUAUUAUGUGGCGCUGGACAAUGAUAUUGAGAAAUGAAGGCAUGUGGACUUUCACACCUUAAAUAUUUUUUCCCUUGGGUGUUGGAGUAAUAUUGAUGAGGUCUAAGGUAUUUAGUGGGUAUGCUUUGAGUCGGUUAGUGGACAGACAUGAGGGUUUGUUUGGUGAGGAUCUUUCCCUUUGAACUUUAAACCGAGAACAGUGAUGGAAACUAUGAAACCUAUAAAUUUUUUGGCCCUUGGGUGUUCGUGGAGUAUUUGUGAGGUCUAUGCUUUGAGUCGGCUAGUGGAGUCUCUCAAGGUGGCUUAUUUGGUGAUGGUCUUUCCCUCUGAACCCUAAACUGAGAACAGGGACUGAAAAGUCUCAAACCGUAUGUAUUUUGGCCCUUGGGUGCUGGAGGAGUAUUUGUGAGGUCUUGGGUAUUUAGUGGGUAUGCUUUGAGUCGGUUAUUAGAUAGACAAGAGAGCCAAGGUGACUCUUUUGGUGAUAGUCUUUCCCUCUGAACCCUAAACCGGGAACAGGGACAAAGUCUCAAAUCUUAAAGUUUUUGGGCCCUUGGGUAUUGGAGUAGUAUUUGUGAGGUCUUAGGUGUUUAGUGGGUAUGCUUUGAGUUGGGUGGGUUAGUGGAGAGACGAGAGAGCCAAGGUGCUGCAUUCGGUAAGGGUCAUCCUCUGAAGGUAAGGCUGUGGUUUCUUUAGGGUUGCAAAAAUGACCAAGAAGUUGAAGAAAUACUUUGUGGUAAUGUUUGGUAGAAGGGAAGAAUAAACUGUAUUAUAGGUUUGAACCAAAGUCAAUAAUUCCUUUCACAUAAAAUUAGUUUGAGCGGACCUCCAGAGUUCUAGCAUAUACUGAUGGCCUUACUCAUUGUGGUGCCUAUUCUAAUACAAAACUAGGAGCCAAUUUGGCAAGUUGGGAACAUUAAUGCAAAGGAGGAAAGUUGGCCGAUUCAGUAAAGGAGACAGUCUGACGAGCCAAAUGCCAAGCUCAAGGAAUUGGUAGAAAGAAAAGAUGAACUAAAAUUUUGCAAAAGAGAGCUUGGUGAUGGUUUUCCACCCAAGGAAAGGUUUCCAUGGUGGAUGAAUGUUUAUGAUGCAGACUUCCCUCAACAUUUAAGUGUACAUCAUGAACGUAAUGUUUUAAGAGUUGUACCCAUUCGUAGAUACAAGGCAGAGAAGCUAUAGCCAAGACUUAAACUUGAGGUUGGAGUUCAUAUUGAAGACAUUUUGAGGGGGUUUCAUCUAUAAAAAUAAAAAAAUCAAACUUUUAUCCAAGUUUUGCAGCGUUAUUCAAUAUUCAGAUUUGACAGUAUGUACAGUAUCAGCUAACCUUUUUUUUACUGAGAAUUUUCUUCAUUCCAGUUGUUUUGGGCUUAUGGCACAAUUUUUUACGAAAAAGGUUCAAUUUCAAUGUUCCAUCAUGUGUUGCAUUGUUCAUUGAGUUACAGUGUACUUUUAGAUGAGACAAAAAGGCGUCUGAUUUGUAGACUCUGACAAACCUUAUUUUGGUUAUAUGGAUGGCUUAUUUGUGGGUAGUUUGCAUUGAAAUUUCUCUCAUAUGUGCUAUGCAUAGAAAUGAUUGGUUUGUUCUUGAACUGAGUUUUAAUAACCACUUAGUUUUUAUAAUUAGUAGAAUGAAAGUUUUUAUUUCACGGAUGUUUCUGUUGACAAGAACAAUCCAUGAAUAUGAGUUAUUGAUGGAUUAGAAUUUUGGCACAUGCAUGCACGUAUAAUGCCUUUGUAUGGAAGUCGAACUCGAUUUAUAUGAUCAAGGAAAAAAAGGGAGCCAGCACGACCUUAAUGUUUUUUGCCUUAAUUUAUUUCAUUGAUUUCACUAACCCUAUGUGCACUGAUUUAAUUUAUUUCAUUGAUUUCACUAACCCUAUGUGCACUGAUUUAAAGAGAAAUUUUUGUGGGGAGCGAGGUUAUUACUCCCUCUGGGAUGAGCCUUACCAAUAAUUGCAUUCAGACUCUCUUUCAGAGCUCCAUUCUUGAAUUGAAACACCUCAAAGUAAGAAGAGAUGCCCUGGAGAUCGUGAACGGAUUUCUUAUUACUGAGCAACUUCACACAUAUGGGAGCAGACAUAUUUGGUGCUUUGUCAUGGCAAUAACCUCUUGCCCCAUUGUUACUAAACUUGGGAGGUUAGCUAUUCAGUCUUUGCUCCUUGGUUCCAAGAUUCUAUUUGGAAUUAAUGCCUGAGCUUCCACCACAUUGCAACUUUGUUGCUAUGAUCUGUCAAGAAGAAUGAACUAUCUAUGAUCUGUCAAGAAGAACGAACUAUCUUUUAAUGGAAUUAUUUCGAAAGCUGUGCAGCUGUUGGAACUCCGUCCUUAUGAUGCAUCAGUUGGUUUCUUGACGGCCCAUUUUCCUCUGCAAUUGCAAAUGAAGAGCCUCACGGCUUUGGCUGAUGAAACAACAUUGAAUUCUGAAUUGAUUUUGGCAAUCUGUUUCGUUCAUAGUCUUCCUGCCACCUCAAAUGUUUCUUUGAAAAGAGUGAAGAAAGACAUUCCUGUUCUUGAUUGAUCUCUAUCUAUAGACGAAGACCCAUGUCAUUGGAGUUCUUCAAAUCCAUGAUUUUGACUUAUGGGCUCACGAAACAGACAUGCACAUUGAAUUGGCAACUAGUUGUGCAAGGAAGUCCUCUGUUAUCACAGUUGUCCUUCUGUGACCAACCCUUAAUCACGACUUCUUAUGCAAAUGAAGAAGGUGAAAUUGGAUUGACAAUUUGGAAGGAGUAAGUAGCUUGAAGCUGUAUGCUCCCUGUAUGUUACGCUCCCUGUAUGUUAUUUCUCGUGAUAGCAAAGAAGUAGAAUCUGGGUAUUUGUUUCAAAGGAUCCAGAAACAGUGUUUAUACUCAUCUGGCUCCCAAUCAAUUUACAUUUCCGUUUUCUCAUCUUUUUUACCAUGUUAUUAAUUUAGUAGCAGCACUUUUAUUGUGUUCGGGACUUCUGAUUGGAAAUUUACUUCUGGGAGAUUGACAUUUUGGAUGAUAUGCUGUUAUAUAUCAAGGUAUAAUAUGCAACGAAGCCUUCUGUAGUGUCCUAACAAAUAAAAGGAAUGGUGUUACCAAUACUUUAACUAGUCGACUCUGGACAUCUUGGCAGGCUUCAGUUUCCUCGGAUUGUAAGGGUUGGUCCUCUCAUGCUAUCUAAUUCUGAUUGGAAAGCUUUUAUGAAUUAGUCGUUUCUCUUCUUUUGUUCUCAUUGGUUUCUAUUUUGUUCUUUAGAUCGGUGUAAUUCAUACCUUGUCCUCUUUUUUGUAGUUUAUUUAUCUUUGCUGCGAAAAUAUUUGUUUUCCAUAAAAUAAAAAUUAUACUAUGCCAACCAUGUGUUUUUAGAGCGUUUAUAAUUUCUUAGGAUGGGUGAGGGUGCAAAUCUCUUUCAACCGCAUAUACAAUUUACUAGCAGAUGUUUGUAUCCCUAGGUUGGAGAGCUGAUAUGAAGAUUCGACAAGAAUUAUGUUGAUGGUGAAACUUACUAAAUUGGUGCAUUCAAUGCCACCAAUGGGAUCACUUGAACCAUUAUUUGAAGACUUUAUUUCAGAGUAUUUGUUCCAACUUCUAUCUUCUAAACAUACAUCCACGAAUUCAGGUUGUAUAUGGAGCAUAGUUGUAUCGUUGUUUGCUUUCAUUUGUGUUUUUUUCGAUUGUAGAAAAGUCUAGUAUAAGUUACAGGUGCGAGUCAUUUUUAAAUGAGUUUUCCUGAAAAGCAGCCGUCAGUGAGCAACCAUCAUUGCCGGUACCCUUUGGCUGUACUACAAAUCAUUGGGGUUGCUGCCGUACUUCAUUAAAUUACUUAGCAAUGACAAUCUGAUGCAUUCUGCAUAUGUUCUGUUAUGAUGAAUCAAACAGCAGUCUUAACUUUCUAGUUUCUCCUAACACCCUUUUCUUUGUAAAGUUUUGAGAUUUCUUACUGUUAUAGAGUUUAAUUUCUACUUUAUUCUCACAUAUUUUUAAAAUUUAGUCAAUAGAUUUAUUAUAAAAGAUAUGUGUGAGUGCAUACAUAUCUUGCUGUACGAUUUGAUGAAUGAUCUGUUUGUUAUUUCAGAGCCGUAUGUUAAAAGAAACUCACAUGUUAAAUUUUUUGAAGUAUAUUCUCUAGGAAAAGCUUGCAGGAUAGGGAACUGAAGGAUACCUUAAUCUCAGAAGCUGGAUUCCCAAAUUGAUGGUGCUCCUCUUUAGCUUUGUUGUAUCGUUCAAUUACUGAUUUCAUGCUGGUAAGAAGAUACAUUUAUAUCAGAUAUACUCUUCGCUUUUUGUGAGCUUAGCACAAAAAGAAUUUGGAAUAUGAUUUCAAGAAUCUGUAUAUGAACAUGGAACGAAAGAAAAUUGACAUAUCAUGGUAACAUUUUAGACUAUAAACUUUUUAAUAGACUUCCAUGCAAGCUUCUUUUUUCUUGUAAGCUGCUGUUACUGAUAAAGAUGUGGUUUUCAGAUCUGCUACCAGACAUUGUUGAAGCAGGGAACUAGAGAUAAGUUUCUGUAUCUUUUCCUAACUUGUUUUUCAGACCUUCUAAACUCUAAAUCUAGUUAAUUCUAUAGUUGAGACAGUUGACGACACAAGUCAUUUCAUGGCGACUGAAGAUGUAACACGAGAACUAGUUUUAGCAAAUUUUAAACAACGCUUCAUUCUCAUUUCUUAUAUACAAGAGCUUUCCUUAGUUUCUGAACUAUGUUCUACAAGAGCAUAUAGUUCGUCAAUUUCAGUUAAGUUAAAAAUCUGCACUGGGAACAGGAAUAUGUCCACACUUUGUACUGUUGCAGUGCAAGGGUUGUUGCUUGUGAGAAGUACCUUCUGUAGGAUUGAACAACAUAUCUACGGAAUACUUCCGCUAUUUAUAAAAUCCUAGGACCAGAUUUAGUGGCAACUGGUAAUUAUUGUUUACACUAGCACUGUUGUUGGAAUUCAUAUUCUGCAGUUUCUAGUUUGAUUCCAUAGGAGCUCAUCAGUUUUCAACUACUUCGCUUCUCUACGUGCUGCUGUUUCUACAAAAUAGUAGUUAAGUAUAAACAGGUUAAAGUGUUUUGCUUCUAAUGUGUCAACUACAUGUAGUGUUCUUCCAGAUAGUCACAUAUUUUGGCAUGAAUUAACCUAAUACAUAUCACGUAUUUUGGCAUUAAUUAACCAAUACAUGUGUAACAAUGUUGCUAGUGUCAGUCGUCCAUGUGAGCACACACAUGUACCAACAGACUAGCUUCUGUUUUAAUGUUAUUUUGGAGAAUUGUUCAUGCAAAGGAUCAACCAAAUAAAAAAUUGAAGUCAUUUUUCUUUUC